AAAAUAUUCAAGAAAACAUAAAAAAAGGAACUUAAGAAUUUUCACAGAUCUAGACUCAACAAUUUUCACAAAAUCAAACCCUCAAACAAGACAUCUCCUUCCCUCUGAUUACGCUCCGGCGGCCGUAAUAACCGGCAGAGCCAUGCUCCGAUCAUCUUGUUCUGCUGGGUUCAUCUCCGACCAGUCAAACACCCCUCACCCCUCACCUCAAACUUGCCGGCGAACAUCUGACGGCGGCGGCGGAAGUACGUUGGACGCGUGGCAGGGCCACAACUAUAAUAUCAGGCGGUAAAGGUGGCUUAUGGGGGAGUUUCGCGUCAAAUUGAAGGGCAGAGGCGGUGGUGUAUGGUUGUGGUAGGGGCGGAGCAGUAGCGUGUGGUAUGGUACCAACUAGUUGCGGCGUUUGGCGAUGGGUGGUUGUUGGUGGUGACUUCGAACAGGCCUGCGACGUCGUGGAUAGAAGGCAGCAGCGCCGCCUUUCCGACGAGAGACAAUAGCAGCGAUAGCUGUAACUCGGGGCGUCGGUGUUAGGGUGAAUCCGUAGGUGGAUGUCGGUAUAUGGGUGGUGAGCGGCUGCGUCUUAGGCUUCAGUCAUAACCCGGAUGUUCCGAUCAAAGGAUGUAAGAUUCGAUCAUUUUUUUUGGGUAUAAACCUCCAGUUAUUAUAUAUAUUAUAGAUAGCUUGGUUUGUAACUGCUAUUUGACUUAUCAUCAUCGUUGUUCACUCUCUCGGAUUGAGCCGGAAUGGAACCACCACCCUCGACACCGUCUUCACCAUUCCAGCGGCCUCCUCUCAGUAAUAUUAGCAAUUACCAAUCACCGCCCUCACGUCACAUCACGGGGGAACAUGACAACAAGAAAGGAUGUAGUUGGAGUAACACGCAUGAAGAUCCAUUCGACCCUGAGAUAGAGGGCAUUUUUUGUUACUUCUCCCUCUGAGGGAAAAGUGCAUGGUCUGUAUGAUAUGCUUGUGGAUCACAACUGGGAUAAGAAUAGAGCCAUUGAGAGACAAUCUAAAUAAGAUGACUCAACUAAGUGACGACUAAUGGAAACAAUUUUUAAAGGAAAUAUAUCAAAUGGGUCGGAAGUUACCUAAAGGCAUAAAUCCUCCUAAGUCAUUCUAUUUCAAAAGUAUUCCGUGUUUCCAUGAUACUCGCUUUAAAAGGUUGCAACCGAGAAGAAAAGAUUGGAAUUAUUGGAAGAUGACAUGGAAAGGGCACAUGCUAGGCUUUUUACAAUUGAGAAAUGCAGCCAAGUUUGUCUCUUAGAAGUGAGAUCUUCAUAAAGACAGUUAAAUGCAGGAUGAGUUGAUCAUGAAUGAGUUUGUUCAUGCAUAACAUUACUCAUUUGCUAAUAGUUUGCAUGGUACUGAUGAAGAUCAAACAAUGAUCAAGGUAUGGCAAUGGAUGGAAAAAGCUUUUGAAAUGGUCAGCGGAUAUGACGUACAAUUAUUACAUUUUAUAUGAUAGGUAGCUUUAUGACGUGUUUGUAAAUUGUGACUUAAAACGAACCCCGAUUGUGAUGUUUAUGCUUAAGUUAUUUUGAAAGGCAACCAUUUAUGCUUA